CCUACGGGUGGCAGCAGUGAGGAAUAUUGGUCAAUGGGAGGAAUCCUGAACCAGCCAUGCCGCGUGCAGGACGACGGCUCUACGAGUUGUAAACUGCUUUUGUAGCGGGGUAAAAUGCACUACGAGUAGGGUAUUGAAAGUACGGUACGAAUAAGGAUCGGCUAACUCCGUGACAGCAGCCGCGGUAAUACGGAGGAUCCGAGCGUUAUCCGGAUUGAGUGGGUUUAACGGGUGCGUAGGUUGUUUUAAAAGUGAGCGGUUAAAUACCGAUGCUCAACAGCGGGGCUGCCGCUGAUACUGUCGGACUAGAGUUCGGCUGCAGCAGGCGGAAUGUGUCGUGUAGCGG
rnacentral:rRNA from 1 species